GGCGGGAAUUUUUUCGCUUACUUAUGGUCGAAACUCAGAAUUCCCUAGGGAUUUUUGAGGGGAAGCCUGGCAGUCUGUUGUUCAGCUAUAGCCAGCAGUUGCUGUCAAGCAACAAGUUUUAUACGGCUGGUAAACUGAUUGCCUGGUCGAUAGCACACAAUGGGCCAGGGCCACGGUGUAUCAACAGACACCUGUUCUGUAUGAUGUGUGGCCAGAAGACAUCUCUUGAUGACUUCGAUGUAGAGGUCUUCAUGGACGAAGACAUCAAACAGAACAUAGAAAAGCUGCAGCACCCCAGAAGACCUGGCAGACUUGAAAAGUCACCUUGGGGACUGGAUU